rnacentral:rRNA from 1 species
CUUAACACAUGCAAGUCGAGCGAUGAAGUUCCUUCGGGAAACGGAUUAGCGGCGGACGGGUGAGUAACACGUGGGUAACCUGCCUCAUAGAGUGGAAUAGCCUUCCGAGAGGAAGAUUAAUACCGCAUAACGUUGAAAGAUGGCAUCAUCAUUCAACCAAAGGAGCAAUCCGCUAUGAGAUGGACCCGCGGCGCAUUAGCUAGUUGGUAGGGUAACGGCCUACCAAGGCGACGAUGCGUAGCCGACCUGAGAGGGUGAUCGGCCACAUUGGGACUGAGACACGGCCCAGACUCCUACGGGAGGCAGCAGUGGGGAGUAUUGCACAAUGGGGGAAACCCUGAUGCAGCAACGCCGCGUGAGUGAUGAAGGUUUUCGGGUCGUAAAGCUCUGUCUUUGGGGAAGAUAAUGACGGUACCCAAGGAGGAAGCCACGGCUAACUACGUGCCAGCAGCCGCGGUAAUACGUAGGUGGCGAGCGUUAUCCGGAUUUACUGGGCGUAAAGGGAGCGUAGGCGGAUGAUUAAGUGGGAUGUGAAAUACCCGGGCUCAACUUGGGUGCUGCAUUCCAAACUGGUUAUCUAGAGUGCAG